UAGGACGGCAAACCAUCCCGGUUUGCCUGGGACUGAGGGAUAUGAGACUUCAGUGCUAAAACUGGGACAGUUCUGGGCUAACCAAG
rnacentral:miRNA from 1 species